rnacentral:rRNA from 1 species
GAUGAACGCUGGCGGCGUGCCUAAUACAUGCAAGUCGAGCGAACGGACGAGAAGCUUGCGUCUCUGAUGUUAGCGGCGGACGGGUGAGUAACACGUGUAUAACCUACCUAUAAUAGUGGGAUAACUUCGGGAAACCGGAUCUAAUACCGGAUAAUAUUUUGAACCACAUGGUUCAAUAGUGAAAGACGGUCUUGCUGUCUCUUCUAGAUGGAUCCGCGCUGCAUUAGCUAGUUGGUAAGGUAACGGGUUACCAAGGCAACUAUGCAUAGCCGACCGGAGGGGGUGAUCGGCCACACUGGAAGUGAGACACGGUCCAGACUCCUACGAGAGGCAGCAGUAGGGAAUCUUCCGCAGUGGGAGAAAGCCUGACGGAGCAACGCCGCGUGAGUGAUGAAGGUCUUCGGAUCGUAAAACUCUGUUAUUAGGGAAGAACAUAUGUGUAAGUAACUGUGCACAUCUUGACGGUACCUAAUAAGAAAGCCACGGCUAACUACGUG